CCUACGGGUGGCUGCAGUGGGGAAUAUUGCACAAUGGGGGAAACCCUGAUGCAGCAACGCCGCGUGAGCGAUGAAGGCUUUCGAGUCGUAAAGCUCUGUCCUAAGGGAAGAUAAUGACGGUACCUUAGGAGGAAGCCCCGGCUAACUACGUGCCAGCAGCCGCGGUAAUACGUAGGGGGCAAGCGUUAUCCGGAAUUAUUGGGCGUAAAGGGUGCGUAGGCGGCCUUAUGGGUCAGAGGUUAAAUACUACGGCUUAACCGUAGUAUGCCUUUGAAACUAUAGGGCUUGAGUGCAGGAGAGGAGAGUGGAAUUCCUAGUGUAGCGGUGAAAUGCGUAGAUAUUAGGAGGAAUACCAGUGGCGAAGGCGACUCUCUGGACUGCAACUGACGCUAAGGCACGAAAGCGUGGGUAGCGAACAGGCUUAGAUACCCUGGUAGUC
rnacentral:rRNA from 1 species